rnacentral:rRNA from 1 species
UACGUAGGGUGCAAGCGUUGUCCGGAAUUAUUGGGCGUAAAGAGCUCGUAGGCGGUCUGUCGCGUCGAAUGUGAAAACCCGGGGCUCAACCCCGGGCCUGCAGUCGAUACGGGCAGACUAGAGUGCGGUAGGGGAGACUGGAAUUCCUGGUGUAGCGGUGAAAUGCGCAGAUAUCAGGAGGAACACCGGUGGCGAAGGCGGGUCUCUGGCCCGAUACUGACGCUGAGGCACGAAAGCGUGGGGAGCAAACAGG